rnacentral:rRNA from 1 species
AACGAACGCUGGCGGCAUGCCUAACACAUGCAAGUCGAACGAGACCUUCGGGUCUAGUGGCGCACGGGUGCGUAACGCGUGGGAACCUGCCCUUAGGUUCGGAAUAACUCCCCGAAAGGGGUGCUAAUACCGGAUAAUGUCUUCGGACCAAAGCUUUAUCGCCUUUGGAUGGGCCCGCGUUGGAUUAGCUAGUUGGUAGGGUAAACGCCUACCAAGGCGACGAUCCAUAGCUGGUCUGAGAGGAUGAUCAGCCACACUGGGACUGAGACACGGCCCAGACUCCUACGGGAGGCAGCAGUGGGGAAUAUUGGACAAUGGGCGAAAGCCUGAUCCAGCAAUGCCGCGUGAGUGAUGAAGGCCUUAGGGUUGUAAAGCUCUUUUACCCGGGAUGAUAAUGACAGUACCGGGAGAAUAAGCUCCGGCUAACUCCGUG